GGGAUUACGAGCAACAACACAGGAAAAACAGCUCAACUCUUCUUGACAUGGACUCUUGUUGCAAGGGUUGGAUCAGGCAGUGUGAUGACUCUGCCCCAGUUCAGAGAAGCUGGUUUAAUGCACAAGCAAGGCACCUUCACUUUGGAGCAAAAUGCAGCAACUCUUUAUAAAACCAUCAAAGGGUGGCCAAAGUCUGACAGCUGAAGGUUCCAACGACGCGAUGACGUAUUUCCUGACGCCUGAGCAUCAUGGGAAGAGUAGUUUUCACUGUGUGGGCACUUCUGUGAACAAAGCGAG